GAGUCCGUAGCUCAGCUGGUAGAGCACCUGGCUUUUAACCAGGGUGUCAUGGGUUCGAGCCCCAUCGGACUCACCA
rnacentral:tRNA from 1 species